UUGUUCAUUCACAAACACCAUUGUUUCUUCGAGCUUCACUUACAAAAUGCAAGUUUAAGAUAACAUUAUUAUGAAUUUCAAGAUGAUGACCACAGAUCAUUAAACCAACCAUGAGACCCUUCUGACCGUGGGACUCUGUGUGACUGUGCAUAUCAUGCACCCUUGAAGCCAGCUCUGCAUGUCACCAAGGAUGCAAAGGAGAAUGCUGGGGAGAUAACAGUGGAAGGAUACACCACCACCACCACCAUCAUCCUGCCAUCUAAUAUCCCAUUAGAAGGAUAGCCACAUUUCCCCCUGGCCUGGUAAAUCAUUCAGCCCGUUCACUUGGACAAAGUACUUAAUCCAGAGUGAGACCAUGCAAGCAAGGACAAUUAUAAUUCUUCCCUGAAAUGAAUACAGCAUAAGGAAGUUGGAAGAGAGUAACUCCCUUUACUGCUGGGUUGCCAAGCCUGGAAGAUGUCAAGUUGGUGCUGCUGGCUGCUAUCUUUCCUGCCAUCUGAGAGACGGCAUGUCUUCAGUUAAAAAGAAUAAAGCUGAACAGAGAUGAGAGAUAGAGAGCUGAAGGACUAAGCUAUUGGUUCCUAGAAACUUCCAUUCUGUUCUGUGAAUUAUUUAUGUAUCUUUUCUUCCCCUAUGGAGCAAUAAAAUUAAACUUUCUUAAGCUUA